rnacentral:rRNA from 1 species
UACGUAGGGUGCAAGCGUUGUCCGGAAUUAUUGGGCGUAAAGAGCUCGUAGACGGUCAGUCGCGUCUGCUGUGAAAACUCGGGGCUUAACUCCGGGCCUGCAGUGGGUACGGGCUGACUAGAGUGCGGUAGGGGAGACUGGAAUUCCUGGUGUAGCGGUGAAAUGCGCAGAUAUCAGGAGGAACACCGGUGGCGAAGGCGGGUCUCUGGGCCGUAACUGACGCUGAGGAGCGAAGGCGUGGGGAGCAAACAGG